AGGUAUCAAUAAAUUGGCUGAAUCUGUAGAAAUUUAUUAUCAUUCAGCUUCAACCAUAAAUUGACAUAAUAGAAAAUUUCUGAUGAAUUUUUUAUUAUCUCAUCAAAUUUUUCUUCAAAAUUCAUAUCAAAACCUGAAUAUUUUCUAUAACUACACACAAUAAUUGGCUAGUAUGUAUCAAAGAGUGAAAAUAAGUUGAAAUGUUUUCUUCCAGAAAGUGCUUGUGGCGUAAUCUUCUUCUUGUGGAUUGGUCUUAAGGUAAUUUUCAACAAUUUUUGGAGUUACUGAAAAUAUUUAUUAAAAAAUAAAUAAACAAUACAGAUUUUAGAAAUGGAUACUUCUAAGAAAAUUAUUUGUUAAACAAUUCACAAAGAACUUGUCUUUUUCUUAUGUUUUAUGUUUUAUUUUUUAUUGUUUCUUUAUAAAUCUAAAUGCACAUCAUAUAGUAGAAUUUUAUUAGGCUUUAAGUUACAAAAUCACCUCACUUUUCACAAAUCUUACUCAAAGCAAGUAAAUGAAUUGGUUUGUGUGCUUUUUUCACUUGGUUUUUUAACAGUCAUUUUGUUAAAAAUGGUUCAUAGAUGCUCAAUCUUACAUCAUAAAAUAUUUAAUAUUCAUACAAACUUACACAACUCCUGUAGAAGGAUCCAAUACAAAAAAAAAAUGGAAUUUCUAUAAUUUCUAAAUUACUGAUAGUCCUUCACACAUUUCAUAUUUUGGAAAAGAACAGAACUUAAAAUUCUAUUCAAAUGGCCACACUUUAGAUAUGUUAUUCUAGCACAAAUGCAAGGAAUCUUAAUAUAAAAAAAAAUAUUAAUUAAAUUGUUACGUUAGUCAUUUAAAUUUUUACAUUUGCCAUCAAAUUGUCAUGAUUUAAUAAAACUCUCACUGUAAAUAUCCUAAAAAAAUAAAAAAAUAAAAAAAAUUACAAUAAUUGUUGAAAUUUUAUGUAUAUGGUAGUCCAAAUUUAGAAAAAUCUGUAGUUCGUAGUAGACAUUAGUUAUGAUGGAAUUUUAGAUAUUUCAUUAGAGAGACGUUAUAAAAUAAUCAAUAAUAAUAAGUUAACAAGGUUUUUUUUUUGACUUGGGUAUGAAACAUCGUUUCAAAUCAAAAAAGAUUGACAAGAUUUUUAGAUCUAUGUCUACUUUCAAAAUCCUUAUAAAGAUCUUGUACUUUGUGAAGAUACAUUAAUUUUUCAAGGCUUUGGCUUUUGAAAAUAAUAUAAAACAAAAAUAGGCUAUUACAAAGAUUAUAAUAUUUUCCAUCAUGGUUCUUAAUAUAGAAAUUUACAUCUUAAAUACAAUAUCUUAAACUUCUAUAAUAUUUUGGUAGUGUUGAAGCCACUUAAAGAAGGUUUUUGAUAAACUAAUAAUUGUUGUAUUUAGAAUUGCAAAAAGAUGACAAAAAUUGUUUGAGUUUUGUGGAAUAGGUCAAGCAUGAACAGAUAGAAAAUUGUUAUCUUAGAUAGGAGUUUCUUAGUGAAUAAUUCUUAAUGCUAACCUAAUAAUAUUUUUUCUUCCUUGUCCUAAGCAUGGUCACCAAUUUUUCUUGUUCAUGUCUGUUAUAAUUUUACUUCAUUCUUUUCUUCUAGUGUAUUUUACUCUUUGAAGAAUCUCUAAAAUUUAAUGUAUACAUAUGUAUAUUUUUUUCCUGAUAUCUAAAAUACCUUCAACAUACCUAAAUUUAAAAAUCAUGAGAAUAACCUUAAAAAUAGCCAAUU
rnacentral:lncRNA from 1 species